rnacentral:rRNA from 1 species
UACGAAGGGGGCUAGCGUUGUUCGGAAUUACUGGGCGUAAAGCGCGCGCAGGCGGCUAUCCAAGUCAGUGGUGAAAGCCCGGAGCUCAACUCCAGAACUGCCAUUGAAACUGUUUAGCUUGAGGACGAGAGAGGUGAGUGGAAAUUCCCAGUGUAGAGGUGAAAUUCGUAGAUAUUGGGAAGAACACCGGUGGCGAAGGCGGGUCUCUGGGCCGAUACUGACGCUGAGGAGCGAAAGCGUGGGGAGCGAACAGG